AACGAACGCUGGCGGCAUGCCUAACACAUGCAAGUCGAACGAAACCUCCGGGCUUUGGGGCGCACGGGUGCGUAACGCGUGGGAACCUGCCCGUAGGUUCGGAAUAACUCCCCGAAAGGGGUGCUAAUACCGGAUAAUGUCUUCGGACCAAAGAUUUAUCGCCUCUGGAUGGGCCCGCGUUAGAUUGGCCAGUUGGUAGGGGAAAAGCCUGCCAAGGCGACGAUCCAUAGCUGGUCUGAGAGGAGGAUCAGCCACACUGGGACUGCGACACGGCCCAGAAUCCUACGGGAGGCAGCAGUAGAGAAUAUUGGAAGAUGGGCGAAAGCCUGAUCCAGCAAAGCCGCGUAAGUGAUGAAGGCCUUAGGAUUGUAAAGCUCUUUUACACGAGAUGAUAAUGACGGUACCGGGAGAAUAAGCGCCGGCUAACUACGUG
rnacentral:rRNA from 1 species